rnacentral:tRNA from 1 species
GCCCUGGUAGCUCAGUGGUAGAUGGUGCGUCCUGUAUAUGGUGAGCGAAAGCGCCUAGCAAUAACUGUCAUGAGGUCGCAGGUUCGAAUCCUGACCAGUGGCU